GAUGGAGCCCAGCCUGGACGUUCUGAUAGUGCAUUCUUGGCAGCUUUGGAGAUCUGGACAGCAGUCUUUACCCAUUCUCUGCUACAUGAUGCCCAUUUUAGGAUUUGGGCACCUCCAGUUCAUCUACCUGGAGCCCAGCUUACGUCACAUCUCAGAUUCAGCUCCGUAAACCCACAGCCUUUAGAGGAGAAAACAUUGACUAGAGCUUCUCUAUGCCUCAGAGACUUUGGACCAGCCUCUCUAGCUUCCUCCACUGAUAACUAACUUUCAACAUGGCCCUGAAAGAGUUUAAGUCCUAGCCCUGUCUGUGGGCAGCUGUGUGAGCACGACUCAAGUGAUUUCAAUGAAGGACUUGUUUCUCUCCAUAUUUUUUCUCUGCUCUCUGCUCUACUGGUGUUAUUGUCAGCUCCAGGCACCCCAUUCUUGGUAAUAAAAUGGUUGCCAACCAGGUCAUCCUUCUAGUCCGGAAGAGUGUCUACUCUUCAGGGAAGAGAGCAUCUUGUGGAACUCCCACCCCGUCAGAGGUCCCAAUAUCUCCUUCUAUCUUGUUGUCUUGGAUUGCAUUGUAUGCUUAUUUUGGAAAGACCAUGGUGAGGGGGCUAGUGUAUAGUAACUGGCUUAAGCCAAUUACAGCCCAUCCUAGGAUUAGAACAGGGGUCAGUUACACCUAAUCACAUGACUGACCAUGGGGGAAGGGUCCUUCUCUCAAAUCAAAACUGGGGCUGUUACCAGGAGAGGAAAUGCCCACCAAAAACACUUUAUCCUGGCCUCCAGCCCAGGAGUUCCCGUCUACCAUCCCAAAUAACAUAAUUUCAUAGAGUUUCUCCUCCUUGCCAUAUUCAAGCACACUUUUUUUCCUAGCUGGUGUUCUGAUCUCAUUCUCCACUGCUAUUCAUAUGAUGACAAGAAGAUGAGACAGGGAUGGUCACUGAUCCCUAGAGUUUAAGUUUUCAAACUAUUCCAGAAUGAAGGGGCUCUUCAAUGAAUUUGAAUAUAGCUGAAAUUGUCAACGUAUCCCCACAAAAGCUGAGUCACCAUGUGCACGAAACUCAACUUUGAAAACUCACUUCCUGAGACUGGGCAUGGUGGCUCACAUCUGUAAUCCCAGCACUUUGGGAGGUCAAAGCAGGUGGAUCACCUGAGGUUAGAAGUUGGAGUCCAGCCUGGCCAACAUGGCAAAACCCUAAACCCUGUCUCUAUUAAAAAUACAAAAAUUAACUGGGCAUCGUGGUGCCCAUAUAAUCCCAGUUACUUGGG